rnacentral:rRNA from 1 species
AUGCUUAACACAUGCAAGUCGAACGGUAACAUUUCUAGCUUGCUAGAAGAUGACGAGUGGCGGACGGGUGAGUAAUGCUUGGGAACUUGCCUUUGCGAGGGGGAUAACAGUUGGAAACGACUGCUAAUACCGCAUAAUGUCUUCGGACCAAACGGGGCUUCGGCUCCGGCGCAAAGAGAGGCCCAAGUGAGAUUAGCUAGUUGGUAAGGUAACGGCUUACCAAGGCGACGAUCUCUAGCUGUUCUGAGAGGAAGAUCAGCCACACUGGGACUGAGACACGGCCCAGACUCCUACGGGAGGCAGCAGUGGGGAAUAUUGCACAAUGGGGGAAACCCUGAUGCAGCCAUGCCGCGUGUGUGAAGAAGGCCUUCGGGUUGUAAAGCACUUUCAGUUGUGAGGAAAAGUUAGUAGUUAAUACCUGCUAGCCGUGACGUUAACAACAGAAGAAGCACCGGCUAACUCCGUGCCAGCAGCCGCGGUAAUACGGAGGGUGCGAGCGUUAAUCGGAAUUACUGGGCGUAAAGCGCACGCAGGCGGUUUGUUAAGCUAGAUGUGAAAGCCCCGGGCUCAACCUGGGAUGGUCAUUUAGAACUGGCAGACUAGAGUCUUGGAGAGGGGAGUGGAAUUCCAGGUGUAGCGGUGAAAUGCGUAGAUAUCUGAAGGAACACCAGUGG